GCUUUACUGAGCAGAGAAAAAAACAGGGUAAUCAUAUAAGGGAACGGAUCGAUCGAUGCAUUGUGAAUGAUGCAUAGGCAAACCAGUUUUCAUUUGCAAGGCUGGAGAAUCUCUACGUUCUAGUUUCUGACCACACACCUAUCCUUUUGAGAUGUAACCGGAAGGAAGUUUACUAUCAUGACAAACCCUUUAAAUUUGAAAAUACUUGGUUCUU
rnacentral:lncRNA from 1 species